rnacentral:misc_RNA from 1 species
GAUGAAGAACGUAGCGAAAUGCGAUAGGUAAUGUGAAUUGCAGAAUUCAGUGAAUCAUCGAAUCUUUGAACGCACAUUGCGCCCUUUGGUAUUCCUUAGGGCAUGCCUGUUCGAGCGUCACUACACACCUUAUCACAAUAUUUGUGGUCUUGGCAGGAGUGAAUUGCUGGUCUAUGGAAGUAUUCCAGCAGUACACAAUGCUAAAAAAUAUGGGAAGGUUACCAGAUAUGAACAACAGACUUUGUAAAUAGUUGUAGGACCUAGAUCAGUCACAAGUCAUGUCUGGUCCCUUACCUUAAGGACCCCCAUCCUAGAUGAACUAUGGGUUGACCUCGGAUCAGGUAGGAAUACCCGCUGAACUUAAGCAUAUCAAUAAGCGGAGGA